GAAAUGAAAAAAGCACUUUUCCUCAUGGACCAACCAAAUGUUCCCACAAGGAGGUGAGUGUGGUUAUGAAUGAAGAAAGAAGACGACGCCGGGUCUGAAAGCGGCUGCGCUUUGCACGUUUGAACUCUUUCCUGCACACGAGGCAUAAGCAAAGCAUAAGGACAGUCUGUUCUUUUCAGGACUGGGGAGUAAUCACUAACAGAUUUUACAACAGCACAUAGCACCUAUCAGAGGGGGUCACCAUUGGGGAUUGCAGCGAAGAAAAGAGACAUUUGUAUUUAAGUUUUUUUUAUUGGAUGGAUCUGUUUUAGAAAGGCAUGUUUUUUUUAAGGUGAUGUGGGCACUCUCUCUCUCUCUCUCUCUCUCUCUCUCUCUCUCUCUCUCUCUCUCUCUCUCUCUCUCUCUCUCUCUUGCUUUGUUGCUCUGUCUCUCUCUGUGCUUGUCUCAUGAUGUGUUUUUGCUCCAUUUAAUGGGAUGAUGGUCCAAUGGUGAGGAAUUGCAGCCUGCUUGUUGCACACAGUGGUAUUAAUAUAGCAAAUGCACGCAUUAGUUACAUGAAAAGAACUCUUGGCUCGAGCAUGUCCGGCUUAAUAGUAGGUGUGUGAGAGGAUAGAAAUGUUGAAUGUGAGAAUGUUUACUAUGACUAGGUGUCAGCCAAAUGUUUUGCGUGCGGACUGGUGCGUGCCAUCUUGCUCUUGGGUUUUGGUUUGUGCCUGUUUAUGUACACUGCGCAUGAACUCUGAGAGGCCGCUCCAAACGGACCAAUAGACUUCUAAAUAAAUAAUAAACACA